rnacentral:rRNA from 1 species
UGAACGCCGGCGGCAGGCCUACCACAUGCAAGUCGAACGGUAGCACAGAGAGCUUGCUCUCGGGUGACGAGUGGCGGACGGGUGAGUAAUGUCUGGGAAACUGCCUGAUGGAGGGGGAUAACUACUGGAAACGGUAGCUAAUACCGCAUAAUGUCGCAAGACCAAAGAGGGGGACCUUCGGGCCUCUUGCCAUCAGAUGUGCCCAGAUGGGAUUAGCUAGUAGGUGGGGUAACGGCUCACCUAGGCGACGAUCCCUAGCUGGUCUGAGAGGAUGACCAGCCACACUGGAACUGAGACACGGUCCAGACUCCUACGGGAGGCAGCAGUGGGGAAUAUUGCACAAUGGGCGCAAGCCUGAUGCAGCCAUGCCGCGUGUAUGAAGAAGGCCUUCGGGUUGUAAAGUACUUUCAGCGGGGAGGAAGGUGUUGUGGUUAAUAACCGCAGCAAUUGACGUUACCCGCAGAAGAAGCACCGGCUAACUCCGUGCCAGCAGCCGCGGUAAUACGGAGGGUGCAAGCGUUAAUCGGAAUUACUGGGCGUAAAGCGCACGCAGGCGGUCUGUCAAGUCGGAUGUGAAAUCCCCGGGCUCAACCUGGGAACUGCAUUCGAAACUGGCAGGCUGGAGUCUUGUAGAGGGGGGUAGAAUUCCAGG